rnacentral:rRNA from 1 species
UACGUAGGGGACAAGCGUUGUCCGGAUUAUUGGGCGUAAAGAGCGUGUAGGCGGCUUUACAGGUCCGUUGUGAAAACUCGAGGCUCAACCUCGAGACGCCGGUGGAAACCGUAAGGCUAGAGUCCGGAAGAGGAGAGUGGAAUUCCUGGUGUAGCGGUGAAAUGCGCAGAUAUCAGGAGGAACACCCGUGGCGAAAGCGGCUCUCUGGGACGGUACUGACGCUGAGACGCGAAAGCGUGGGGAGCAAACAGG